UUAGACCUAUAAGAAGGUCGUGCCCACCGGCGCUUAACAUCAAUCACAAUCAAAGUGACUCGUAACCUGCAGCAACAAUGGAAAUAAAACCCUAAGUAUGCAAGUACUCAGCAAGACUUACCCGACUAAAGAAAAGACUCUCAAGGGUAUGCUGGUUUUAAAAGGAUUCAAGGUAAAGCUUAUCAAGGAUCAAGGACUCUGUUUGCAGAAAAGCUUACUAUGAGUGGAUCCUUAAAAAUCCAUUUUUACUUGUCAGGUUAAGUAAAGUUACCUGCACUAGAGUUCUUUCUAUCCUAGUUCAAGCACAUGGCCUAUACUAGCCGUCUUUUAUCAUCACAUCAGUUCACUAGAUUGCUACGUGUAAGUCAGUGACCAAGUCUUCAUAUUCGAGAAGUAACGGCGAUCGGAAUCGAUUAAUACCCAGUUGGGGAUCUCCAACCACACGACAUAUGUCAACUCGCCACCGGGUUUCUCAGGACCAGACCAGGUUCACGCCAACCGAGAGCACAGAUACACCACCAUCCAGCCUCUUGCCACGGAGGGUACAUGCUACUCUCACCAUCUCUCCACUCCCAUCGUGUGUUGGCCUUUCUGGUAUUGGUCUACCCGAGGCAAAGCUUACCCAUGACGAGGCAUGUGGCCAGUUAAAAGGUCCUCGAUCAUCAGGCCCACAUCGGCACGGUUCUUAAUCGACUCAGACGAAGACACUACACCGAGACUCCCUUCUCGUGCAAGUCACCCGCCCGGUCUCAGCUUUAUUAUUUAAAACCCAAAGUUUGGUACCUGGCAGAGGUAAAUCUUUUCAGAUGUUGAACCCAUCAAGGCCUUUGACGAAUUCACCAUCAUAAGUACUUUCUUUUGUAAAAAUUCCCAUCCACUGUGAAGCAUCACUUUUGUUUUAAAACAAAACAUUUUGUUUUUCUAGAGCAAGGCUAAGCAUCAUAAAAUUCUUUUCAUAAAAGGGUAUCAAGGAAGGGUAAUCAAUUUUUCAAGGAAAUGCAUCAAUUGUUUAGCACACAACUCCUAUCUCCUAAUGCAUCAUAUAAGGUGAUAAAGAUUUUAAAACAGCGAGGAGGUGGCAAAUGCAUCAGGGCUUGCCUGGAAUAAACACUACGUUAGUGUUUGUUAGACGUCCACUUGACGAGCACCUCACAUCCUGGUGCUUGAUCCGAUCACCCAGUCUUCAAGUUCUUUCAGUAGUAUCACUUUGCGAAGAAGCUCACACUUAACGAUGUCUUGUGGUCGACUCAGCUCUGGUCCUCCACAUCACAUGAUUAAUUAACGUACCUAAAUGAAAUGCAUAAUGCACAUGUAUGAAUAUAAGAAGAACUAGCACAAUACUAGACAAUAUUACACGGUCGAGGAUUACACACUAUUAACAAGUCAUUAGAACCAAUUACAAGAAACGCCAGCUGUCGAUAUAAGACUAACGAUAAUAUUCGUGCUUCUUAUGCUCAUCCAGUGCUAGCUCAAACAUCACGAACAACACACUAAGCAUGAAUUUUAUAUCUUUCUUAGCUAACACUUAAUACCAAAGACUAACAAUACUUAGGUUAAUUAAUCUAGUAUACCUUGGACUUAGAAUAACCAUUAGUAGCUUUACAAUUAGCUUUAAAAUUACUAUUCCAUAAUGUUAAUUCGACCAUUCAUCGGAUACGAAACACUGAUUUAAUCACUCUCGCGUAACCUCCAUCUUUGAACCUAAACUUAGCUACAUGACAUGAUUAUUUCUCAAUCGUGAACACAAUCACCUCGCUACCUAUAGCUCCGGCACUUCGACAACAUAUAAUAUAGCACGCGCUCGUGCUACAAAGGAUAAUCAUCAUGACAUACAUAUCUAUCAAUCUAUCCAUUAAACCAAAUAUUGGAAGUAGCGAAUUAGCUUACCAUAAUUAAAUCUGACUUGAGGCUGUGAUAUCAAUGAUGCUAUCUGGUCCGCGCAUAACACCGAACACCUAACUAGCAUUGCAUUGGCG
rnacentral:lncRNA from 1 species